rnacentral:rRNA from 1 species
AUAUUCCGCAAUGGACGAAAGUCUGACGGAGCGACGCCGCGUGGAUGAAGAAGGCCGAAAGGUUGUAAAAUCCUUUUGCUGAUGAAGAAUAAGUGUGGUAGGGAAUGACCGCAUGAUGACAUUAGUCGGUGAAUAAGCCCCGGCUAACUACGUGCCAGCAGCCGCGGUAACACGUAGGGGGCAAGCGUUGUUCGGAAUUAUUGGGCGUAAAGGGCAUGUAGGCGGUUUGGUAAGCCUGGUGUGAAAUCCUGCAGCUUAACUGUAGAAUUGCAUUGGGUACUGCCAGACUUGAAUCACGGAGGGGAAACUAGAAUUCCAGGUGUAGGGGUGGAAUCUGUAGAUAUCUGGAAGAAUACCGGUGGCGAAGGCGGGUUUCUAGCCGAUGAUUGACGCUGAGGUGCGAAAGUGCGGGGAGCAAACAGG